rnacentral:rRNA from 1 species
GACGAACGCUGGCGGCGUGCUCAACACAUGCAAGUCGAGCGAGAAAGCUCCUUCGGGAGUGAGUAACACGUGGGAACGUGCCCUUCGGUUCGGAAUAACUCAGGGAAACUUGAGCUAAUACCGGAUACGUGCGAGAGCAGAAAGAUUUAUCGCCGAAGGAGCGGCCCGCGUCCGAUUAGCUAGUUGGUGAGGUAAUGGCUCACCAAGGCGACGAUCGGUAGCUGGUCUGAGAGGAUGACCAGCCACACUGGGACUGAGACACGGCCCAGACUCCUACGGGAGGCAGCAGUGGGGAAUAUUGGACAAUGGGCGCAAGCCUGAUCCAGCCAUGCCGCGUGAGUGAUGAAGGCCCUAGGGUUGUAAAGCUCUUUCGCCAGGGACGAUAAUGACGGUACCUGGAUAAGAAGCCCCGGCUAACUUCGUGCCAGCCGCCGCAGUAAAAC